CCUACGGGUGGCAGCAGUGGGGAAUAUUGGGCAAUGGGCGCAAGCCUGACCCAGCAACGCCGCGUGAAGGAAGAAGGCUUUCGGGUUGUAAACUUCUUUUGUCAGGGACGAAGGAAGUGACGGUACCUGACGAAUACGCCAAGGCUAACUACGUGCCAGCCGCCGCGGUAAUACGUAGGUGGCAAGCGUUAUCGGGAUUUACUGGGUGGAAAGGGCGUGUAGGCGGGGGGGCAAGUCAGAGGUGACAUUCCAGGGCUCAACCCUGGAACUGCGUUUGAAACUGUUCUUCUUGAGUGAUGGAGAGGCAGGCGGAAUUCCGUGUGUAGCGGUGAAAUGCGUAGAUAUACGGAGGAACACCAGUGGCGAAGGCGGCCUGCUGGACAUUAACUGACGCUGAGGCGCGAAAGCGUGGGGAGCAAACAGGAUUAGAUACCCCUGUAGUC
rnacentral:rRNA from 1 species